GACAGAGGGUGCAAACGUUGCUCGGAUUUACUGGGCGUAAAGCGCGUGCAGGCGGGCGACUAAGUCGGAUGUGAAAUCCCUGGGCUCAACCUAGGAACUGCAUUCGAAACUGGUCACCUAGAGUGAUGGAGAGGAAAGCGGAAUUCCCGGUGUAGAGGUGAAAUUCGUAGAUAUCGGGAGGAACACCAGUGGCGAAGGCGGCUUUCUGGACAUUUACUGACGCUGAGACGCGAAAGCGUGGGGAGCAAACAGG
rnacentral:rRNA from 1 species